UACGGGGGGGGCAAGCGUUGUUCGGAAUUACUGGGCGUAAAGGGCUCGUAGGCGGCCAACUAAGUCGGAUGUGAAAUCCCCAGGCUUAACCUGGGAACUGCAUCCGAUACUGGAUGGCUUGAAUCCGGGAGAGGGAUGCAGAAUUCCAGGUGUAGCGGUGAAAUGCGUAGAUAUCUGGAGGAAUACCGGUGGCGAAGGCGGGUCUCUGGACCGAUACUGACGCUGAGGAGCGAAAGCGUGGGAGCGAACAGG
rnacentral:rRNA from 1 species